UACGUAGGAGGCGAGCGUGUCCGGAGUUACUGGGCGUAAAGGGUGCGCAGGCGGCGUCACGCGUGGAUAGUUGAAAUCUCCUGGCUUACCUGGGAGGGUGGUAUCCAGACGGUGGCGCUUGAGGGUCGGAGAGGGGCGUGGAAUUCCGGGUGGAGCGGUGAAAUGCGUAGAGAUCCGGAGGAACACCGACGGCGUAGGCAGCGCCCUGGACGACAC
rnacentral:rRNA from 1 species